GGCAGUUUGGCCGAGUGGUUAAGGUUAGACCGCCCAAAUUCUGCCAAACCAGAAUAAAUUAGACUAACAAAAUAAUAGGCGCCAGACUUAAGAGAAUUCUGAAUUCUGGUCACGAAAGUGUCGUGGGUUCGAACCCCACAGCUGCCA
rnacentral:tRNA from 1 species